rnacentral:rRNA from 1 species
GACGAACGCUGGCGGCGUGCUUAACACAUGCAAGUCGAACGGAAAGGCCCUGCUUGCAGGGUACUCGAGUGGCGAACGGGUGAGUAACACGUGGGUGAUCUGCCCUGCACUUCGGGAUAAGCCUGGGAAACUGGGUCUAAUACCGGAUAGGAGCCAUAUUUAGUGUGAUGGUUGGAAAGUUUUUUCGGUGUAGGAUGAGCUCGCGGCCUAUCAGCUUGUUGGUGGGGUAAUGGCCUACCAAGGCGGCGACGGGUAGCCGGCCUGAGAGGGUGGACGGCCACAUUGGGACUGAGAUACGGCCCAGACUCCGACGGGAGGCAGAAGUGGGGAAUAUUGAACAAGGGGCGCAAGCCUGAUGCAGCGACGCCGCGGGGGGGAUGACGGCCUUCGGGUUGUAAACUCCAUUCGCUAGGGACGAAGCUUUUUGUGACGGUACCUAGAUAAGAAGCACCGGCUAACUACGUG